AAAUGAGCGAUGCAAAUAACAAGUUUUCAGCAUUUCAGAUUUUGUUAUUUGCGUCGCAUUUUUAUUAUAAAGUGACGCAGAUAACUCUGUUGCAUUUUAGGUUAUUCAUUCUGCGCUUUUUUAACCUUAGCUUUUCACGCCUACCUUUCACUAAUUCACUAAACAAAAAGAAAAAAAACAGAGUUGCUUCUAUAGAAAACUACAAUUCGACCUUUCAAUCCAACAAAUUCGCCCAAAAAACACCCACAAAUUCGCCCAAAAAACUGCAAUUCCCCAGCAAAUUCAACAUCCAAAAUCGCAAUCAAGUUCAACACCUAUAAUCGGCAGCAAAUCCAAGCAAUUUCGAGCAAAAAUUUAGACCAAAAACCCUAAUUAAUUCGAACCCUUAAUCCCCAGAAAAAUUGAUUAUUUUCGACCAGAAAUCCCCCAUUUCGAGCAAAAAAUGUACUCAAUUCCAUACGAAUUCGAACCCUAGAAACCCCAAAAAAUUCAAUUAAAAAUCCUGCUGAAAAAAUUCGAGCAAUAACUGAAAUUUUCGAGUGGAAAAAUCGCUUAAUUUAGCCCCCAAAAACCCGAGGAAGUUCAAGCAAAUUACAACAAUGUUGAAUUUUUGAAUUUUCGAGUGGAAAAAUCGCUUAAUUUCGCCCCCAAAAAUCGAUUUCGGCUCGACAUUGUUGAAUUUUUGAAGUCAAUUUCACCUAUGGGCUCCAUUCAUUUGAUUUUAUAGGACUUGGUUACAAAGUCGAUUGGCCGGUCACUAUCGUGCUGACCUCAAGUGCAUUGAAAAUAUAUGCUGAGAUAUUCACUUAUCUCAUACAGCUCAAGCUUGUUGUUCUGUCUUUGGCUGAUGUAUGGUGCUCUUUGAAGGUUUUUAAGCACCUAAUCAGUGAGACUGAUGAACAACAUCAGCAGGCAAGAACAAAAUUUAAUUGCAUCGUAAAAUUGAGGCAUCAGGUUAAUCAUUUUGUCUCCACGUUGCAGCAAUAUGUGCUAUCGCAGUUAUCGGAUGUAUCCGGGAGUAGAUUUUGCUUCUCCCGCGAGCAUGAGGUUUGAGCCAGUGCUAUAACCUAUAAUGUCCUCAACAAUUGGGUGGACGUGAGUGUAGCUACUACGUCAUGCGUUAUAUGUACGAAAUACUUGAACAUCACCAUAGCAGUGAAGAUCUUAUUCAGGAUUUUUCAAGAACUACACCGUACACCGAGGAGGAGAUAAAUGAGAUCCGAGAUAUUUUGGCAGAGUAUUUUAUUUGUAAUGUUGAACUUUAGAUUUACCACUUAGCGCAUGUUUGACUCUUGUUUUGGAUUAUAGGCUUGAAAUGAAGUAAUUUGGUUAAUUGGUGUUGGGAUGAUGAGUAUAAUGUCUAUGAUAUUGAGAUGUAAAUUAUUGGACAGGUUGUUAAUAUAAUGCCGUCAUUCCCAAUUUUAUGGGUAGGCCAAAUUACAAA